ACGUAUAUCACAUCCGGGUGGCUUAGUUUUCAAUCGCAAUCCGCUGCUCCGUCCGCGGUCUCGACCGGGGGGUGUCUGCAGAAAGUCCCCAAAUCCCGACCUCUGUCGGGGUCUUACCGGGGGUUGGAGGUGCAUUCCAGUACGGCUGCACAUGCGACGCAAUCCGCUGAUGGUGCACAGCACCGGGCGCUCCCCCUCGGUGCGACAUUUUCGUACUGAGGUAGCAUUUGUCGCUACAUUGGCUAACAACAUCGAUCUGACGUACUCCACCCCCUCUCCAGCCGUCAUCUACCGAUCGUGAAGAGGGUUGAUCUGUCAAUCGAAAACCGGGGUUGAUAACGUUGCCUGACUCCCGAUGGAUUCUUUUUUUGUAUUUCAGCGUCCACUUGAAAAAUACUCGGUAACGUAGCCAGCCCUUUUAUUAAGCAUUCAGGCCCAUAGAGAGUGGGUGGGGGUUUAACCAAUGGCAUCUGGAUUAAUCGUACAUCCCUGAAACUACUGAACUGUGCCCUUUUCGGGGUUCAUUUUAAUCCCAUUGUUGUAAUCCCAUUGUUGUAAUACAUAGAAACAAGGCACGUUUCCCGCAUUCUACCUCAAUACCCCCAAACGUCUACCUGUCCAUAUGAAACCCCCAGUUAGAUACACCAUCAGCCUUCUAUAAUCAGUCAGCUUAUGGUUCGGAACCUUUCUGGUUCCGUUUGCCUCUUGACAAUCCGAAAAAGCGCCAGUGAUCCACGGCACCCUUUUUGCAGCCUUCAUACAGGCUUCUCCUAUAGUACCAUCCCAUUCUGGCCUUCUGUAUAGUCGUGUGAGGCAAAGAAAUCUGUUCGACCUGCCACAAACGAGCAAAGCAUUGGUUAUCUAUACGGUGAUAGGCUUGUUGUUUAUUCCCCUAUACUGGGGGAAUUCUCGGUGGCAUCCCUACCUCCCGAGUCACCGUCCUGUCACAGCGAGCUAAGCUCAAGAAUCUGAUCAUGCCGGGUCCAGCAGCUGGCAGUAAGUCCCGUGUUUACGCAGACGUUAACACACUAAAGAGCCGGGAAUACUGGGACUAUGAAGCUCACGUGCCAAGUUGGAGCAACCAGGAAGACUACCAGCUGGUGAGGAAACUAGGCCGAGGGAAAUACAGUGAGGUGUUUGAGGCAAUCAACAUCACUAACAACGAAAAGGUGGUUGUCAAGAUCCUCAAGCCCGUGAAGAAGAAGAAGAUUAAGCGGGAGAUAAAGAUCCUGGAGAACCUGCGCGGGGGGACCAACAUCAUCCGCCUGGUGGACACGGUCAAGGACCCUGUGUCCCGAACUCCGGCUCUCGUCUUCGAGUGCAUCAAUAACACAGAUUUCAAGGAAUUGUACCAGAAGUUGACAGAUUUUGAUAUUCGUUUCUACAUGUAUGAACUGCUGAAGGCACUGGACUGCUGCCACAGUAUGGGUAUAAUGCACCGAGACGUUAAGCCACACAAUGUCAUGAUCGACCACCAAAUGAGAAAGCUACGUCUUAUAGACUGGGGUUUGGCUGAGUUCUAUCACCCAGCUCAGGAGUACAACGUCCGGGUGGCGUCGAGGUAUUUCAAAGGCCCAGAGCUGUUGGUGGACUACCAGAUGUAUGACUACAGCCUUGAUAUGUGGAGCUUGGGGUGUAUGCUGGCCAGUAUGAUCUUUCAGAAGGAACCCUUCUUCCAUGGACAAGACAACUACGACCAGCUGGUGCGUAUCGCCAAAGUCCUGGGCACAGACGAGCUGUUCAGCUACCUGCGGAAGUACCACAUCGAACUGGACCCGCGUUUCAAAGACCUGCUCGGACAACAGAACAAGAAGCACUGGCAGCAGUUUGUGCAGACGGAGAACCAGCACCUGGUGAGUCCCGAGGCGCUGGACCUGCUGGACAAGCUGCUGCGCUACGACCACCAGCAGCGGCUGACCGCCACCGAGGCCAUGGACCACCCCUACUUCUACCCCGUGGUGAAGGAGCGGUCUCUGUCCAACUCUGACAACAAUAUUGUUUCCACUGGCAAUACUACAGCCCGAUGAAACGCAGGAAAAGGAGUUCUGAUUACCUGCUCUUUGUACCUGGCUGUGACGAAUCCGUAGCUUGUCUGUCUGUCUGUCCUGUCCUGUCCUGUCCUGUGUGCAGCCACCCGGGAAACAGGCAGACACACAGACGGGCAUCCUGAAAACAAUACUCCAGUUCUGAAAGUGGCAUGGUGGAGUCUAGAUGGAAUGAAAACGAUGACAUUAUUAUUAUUAUUAUAAUUAUAAUUAUUAUUA